CACCCUCCUGACAGCCGAUGACGCUAUGGACUCUAGCCAAUCACAACGCACGACAGCCGUCACGUUUGCAGAAGUAGCCAAUGGGAGCAGGGAAGGCGAGAGACCAAUAGGAAUAGGCCGGGUUCCUGGCGCACCCAGAGAGCAUUUCGAAACCUGACGUGGGCGGGGCGAAGGAAAAGAGGCGGAGGAUGAUGGGAGAAGUUUUGCGGCGAUUGUGACGCGCGUCCGUAGCUGUUUUAGGAAAGCCGCGUAGUGCUCCGUGUCUGAGAAAAUAUUCCCCAGCGGGACGACACAGAAGUGCUCCUGUCUUGACUUCCCCACAUUGAGGGCCCGUGCCCUGGAAUUGUGAAUGAAAAUAAAGUCCUUUCUCUCUGACAUUGUUUAUUGUCAGAGUAUUUUAUCACAGUGACAGAAAUGAAGCUAGACUAACUAUAAACGUAGUUUAGCAUUCCAACCUUAAAAGAGAUUAGGAAGGACUCAAAAAACACAUUAUGUCACAUGAAGGAUUAUGCUGUAAUAAAUCCAGCUAAUGGCUCCACAUCUUUGUUCUAGAGACGUUCAUUCGGAAGCUCCCUAGAAGGAAACUAUAGAGACACAAGAGGGAUCCUCCUGCUUAGUGUUCCGCAGGACCUGUGGGUAAUGACUUGUUCCACUGGCAUGCCACCAUCAGAGGCCCGAAUGACAGUCCUUACCAAGGAGGUGUUUUUUUUCUGACCAUCCACUUCCCUACAGGUUAUCUUUUCAACCCCCCAAAAGGUUGCUUUCACUACCAGAAUCUAUCACCCUAAUAUCAACAGCAAUGGCAGCAUUUGCCUGGACAUCUUGAGAUCACAGUGGUCCCCAGCAUUGACUGUGUCCAAAGUUCUCCUGUCUAUCUGCUCUCUGCUCUGCGACCCCAACCCUGAUGACCCACUGGUGCCAGAAAUAGCCCACACUUACAAGGCUGACAAAGAGAAGUAUGCGCGCCCUCUUUGGGUUGGCUUUGUGUGCAGCUGCCCAGGUUCCCACGGACAUCUUCCUGCCCAAGCCAAGCCCAUGUACAACAGACUAGCAAGAGAGUGGACACAGAAAUAUGCUAUGUAAGUGCUCCAUGGGAGACCCUGUCCAAGAGAAGCUUACCAGGUAGAGAAGUGAUCCUGUGAAGCUUGGAGCUCUUAGCCAAGGCACUCACGGAACAUCCUCUGUUCAAACAUGUGUUGGCACUCACUUCUCUGGCUGCAGCAUGUUGGUGCCACUUUCAGCCACUGUGGCCUUGAGAGUACCACACCUGUAAUGCCAAAUCAGCAACCACUGUUAUGAUCUACAGUCUUCCUGGCUACACUAGAACCAGUCUAGGCACCAGUCUGUCCGCUUGUCUCUGUGGAACCAAGCCAUACAUGCCUCCCGUACUUGUCCUCAAGUGGUGCCACCAUGCACUGUGGUACUGUACAGGGGCCCAGCCUGCCCCCUGACCACAUACCCUUUGCCUUUAGAGCACAGUGCUUUCCUGAGGGCCCAGGCAGAGUGGGCAUCUUCAUACUUUGUCUGCCACAGAGUCAACCACAGAACUGUAUCCUCAGGAGUUCGAGUGUAUCCUGGAGGCUCCUGGAAAUUGGAACAACAUUCCCUGAAAGCCACCUUCCUCCAUAGUGCUAUAGCUGCAAACAGAGAGUGAGGAGCAUCAGGGCAUUUAAAGCAUGAACACCCCAAAAAGGAUGGGCUCCAAUCCAGGACCUCACGCUUGCUAGGCAAGCACUCUACCAACUGAACUACAUCAUUAGCCCUCAUGCCUCUUUUCUUGUUACCCAGCAACAGACAAAGGUAUUUCUCUUGUUAAGGCUAUUACUUGUGGUCCUCUGCCUGUACUUUUUCUUCCUUUAAAUUGUAUACCAUUGGCUCUUCAGCAUCAUAUGACAUCUCAAAUAUCAUUCUUGUGCG